rnacentral:rRNA from 1 species
UACGUAGGUGGCAAGCGUUGUCCGGAUUUACUGGGCGUAAAGAGCGCGCAGGCGGUCGUUCAAGUCGCGUGUGAAAGCCCCCGGCUCAACUGGGGAGGGUCACGCGAUACUGAUCGACUCGAAGGCAGGAGAGGGAAGUGGAAUUCCCGGUGUAGUGGUGAAAUGCGUAGAUAUCGGGAGGAACACCGGUGGCGAAGGCGGGAUCCUGGGCCAGUACUGACGCUGAGGCGCGACAGCGUGGGGAGCAAACAGG